rnacentral:tRNA from 1 species
AGGCCAGUAGCUCAGCGGUUUAGAGCGGUCGGCUUAUACCCGACUGGUCGCAGGUUCGAAUCCUGCCUGGCCUACCA